rnacentral:rRNA from 1 species
ACUAUUACGCUGUUAACCCCACCUGAGUAGUACCAGCUUACGCUCUAAACUCAAAGAAUUUGGCGGCUCUUUACCUCUUUAGAGGAACCUGCCCCGUAAUCGAUGACCCACGUGUUACCCUACCCCGCCUAAAGUUUGUAUACCGCCGUUUAGAGUGAGCCUAGAGGCCCGCUCGUAACUAAAUUAUUAAAUAAUUCAGGUCAAGGUGCAGCCGAUGGUGGGGUGGCGGUGGGUUACAAUGAUUUAUACCGCCGGAACCUAAAUCUAAAAUUUAAGUGAAGUUGGAUUUAAAAGUAAAUUUGUGCAGAAUUGGCAGAGCCCUGAAGU